UACGUAGGGGGCAAGCGUUGUCCGGAUUUAUUGGGCGUAAAGAGCGUGUAGGCGGCCAGGUAGGUCCGUUGUGAAAACUCGAGGCUUAACCUCGAGACGUCGGUUGAAACCGUUUGGCUAGAGUCCGGAAGAGGAGAGUGGAAUUCCCGGUGUAGCGGUGAAAUGCGCAGAUAUCGGGAAGAACACCCGUGGCGAAGGCGGCUCUCUGGGACGGUACUGACGCUGAGACGCGAAAGCGUGGGGAGCGAACAGG
rnacentral:rRNA from 1 species